rnacentral:rRNA from 1 species
UUUUGGACAAUGGGCGCAAGCCUGAUCCAGCAAUGCCGCGUGUGGGAAGAAGGCCUUCGGGUUGUAAACCACUUUUGUACGGAACGAAACGGUCUGCUUUAAUACAGUGGGCUAAUGACGGUACCGUAAGAAUAAGCACCGGCUAACUACGUGCCAGCAGCCGCGGUAAUACGUAGGGUGCAAGCGUUACUCGGAAUUACUGGGCGUAAAGCGUGCGCAGGCGGUUAUAUAAGACAGUUGUGAAAUCCCCGGGCUCAACCUGGGAAUUGCAUCUGUGACUGUAUAGCUAGAGUACGGUAGAGGGGGAUGGAAUUCCGCGUGUAGCAGUGAAAUGCGUAGAUAUGCGGAGGAACACCGAUGGCGAAGGCAAUCCCCUGGACCUUACUGACGCUCAUCACAAA